ACUCAAUCUUACCAGCAACGAAAAGACUACAGUGCGUGAGACCAGCUUUUAAAUUCACUAAAAAAGGCGGGAUGUAGUCUGAGGUAAAAUUCAACGGUAAAGGGUUGUGGGAGUCCGAAACCUAUCCGAGAAGCUACCGGCACAAAGGACGGAUGGGGAGUAACGAGCACUGUGUCCGCUACAAGAACAAGUCAUUUUUUUCUGUGGCAACAAACCCAUAAAUAAGUUUCAUAUAAAGACAAGAAAGUAAAAAAUAAAUUAUAAAGAGUAGGUGAAGCGUGUACACUUCAACAGGACAACCUUCAAGAAACUUAAUAAGAAACAGCAAUCCAUGAGUUUCUCAUAAGCACAUAUGCAGUGAAGGGUCACCGCUACGCACACCUGAUUGAGAGAUACUGAAUCACUGGGAGGAAACCGGCACAACACGAGGGAAGAUGCAGCUAGACACGCACGGAUUAAAGGCACAACUUAG